rnacentral:tRNA from 1 species
GAGUAUGUAGGUUAGUUGGUAAACCGCCUCAAUCGUAAAGGAAUUUUAAGAGUUUCUUUACGCUUGAGGAAUCCUCAGUUCGACCCUGAGCUUAUUCA